rnacentral:rRNA from 1 species
GACGAACGCUGGCGGCGCGCCUAACACAUGCAAGUCGAACGAGCGAGCGAGAGCUUGCCUUCUCAAGCGAGUGGCGAACGGGUGAGUAACGCGUGAGGAACCUGCCUCAAAGAGGGGGACAACAGUUGGAAACGACUGCUAAUACCGCAUAAGCCCACGACCCGGCAUCGGGUAGAGGGAAAAGGAGCAAUCCGCUUUGAGAUGGCCUCGCGUCCGAUUAGCUAGUUGGUGAGGUAACGGCCCACCAAGGCGACGAUCGGUAGCCGGACUGAGAGGUUGAACGGCCACAUUGGGACUGAGACACGGCCCAGACUCCUACGGGAGGCAGCAGUGGGGAAUAUUGCACAAUGGGGGAAACCCUGAUGCAGCGACGCCGCGUGGAGGAAGAAGGUCUUCGGAUUGUAAACUCCUGUUGUGGAGGAAGAUAAUGACGGUACUCAACAAGGAAGUGACGGCUAACUACGUG